CUAGACCGAGAUUCUGAUCCUGCUUGUGUUUUACGCGAUGGGUGAGUUGUUUUGAUUCGUAACCCUUCAAAAAACGUAUGCUAUUAUAUUGAUCACAACAUUAGUGUGUAGAUUGUAAUCAGCGCGUCUUCCCGCGGACGAUAUGCACAUCAAAAGGUAUUGUACAGCAAUAUAAAUGGUCAUUUUAAGACACUUCACAAUAAGAUUUGUACUGUCAAUACAUUAUGUGAAAAAUCAUUGUAAGUUGAAAACUUAAUUCUGAGCUGUGUUUACCAUCGAAUUUGGACUAAUACUGUAAUAUCAAUAUGACUAACAAUUUCGUUUUGAACAUCACAUAUAAACUUACAUAAUGAAAUAAACGAUGUCAAACGCAACAUUUAUAAGACUUGAUUACCUUAUCCAUCAACGUGAUUUCUCGUUCUCGUCUGAUUGAUGGCUAAAGUUAAAGACUACAAAUCCCAUAAUUCCACGCUGCUUCAGAGCGUCAGUAAACAACAUCAUUGUUUUUGUUUGAUCUGGCGCCAUCUUUCGGCACAUAAAUACAAAUUGUAUCUUUAAGAAGAAAGGCAACACCGCCACAGUGAUAAAGCAAAAAGAAAAACCGUGGCAAAGUAUUGCAGACCGCCUGAAUGCGUAAGUAGUGCACAAUUACACACUCACCGCUCUGCUGAAACAUCACAAUUACAAUUAAAAUAUUUAAUUCACAUCUCCAAAAACGCAAUUGUACUCUGAUAAUAAAACAGUUCAUAUUUUUAUUGAAAUGGACUGCAAAUAUGAGUGAAAUUGUGUAAAGUUACUCCAUCACACUGGAUAAGGCUUCAAUAAAUUAUUAUGACAGCCUUACAUUAAUUUAUUACUACGCUCAUUAUGUACUCUGCUUCUUAUGUUGUCCACCGUUGACUUUUUUCUGCUUUUAUUAAUGUAAAGCUGGUUUGAAACAAUGAAGCAAUUGUGAAAAGCGCUUUAUAAAUAAAAUUUGAUUGAAUAAAUAGAUGAGCUAUUAAUAAUAAUCAAUUUAAUUUAUAAAGCGCCUUUCAAAGGACCCAAGGUCACUUGCUCAUUGCACUGCAAAAAAUGACUUUCUUCGUGUUUUUGUCUUGCUUUCAGUAAAAAUAUAAAAACAUUCUUAAAUGAAGAUGUAUUAAAAGUUUUCUUGAAAUAUACUUUUCCAUAAACACUUAAUUUAAAACAAAUUUUCAUAUUCCAUUGGCUGAUUGAUUUUUUUCCCCCUUAUUUUCCUAGGUCAUUUGCUCAUCAAGAAAAUGCAUCUUAAUUUAAGAAUUUUUUAUGUUUUUAAUGAAAACAAGACAAAAAUACAAAGUAAGUCAUUUUUUGCUGUGUGACUCCAUUGAAUGUUCUUGUGUGAUAAAGAAAGUCUCUCUCUUUGUGUGUGAUGUAGAUUAAAUAUGACCGGGCCAAAAUGGUCACAGCAGUAGGUCAAAAUCAAAUACAAGAACAUUCUGCAGAAUGCAGUGAAAAAGAAUACCCAGAGACAAGGCACGGGUGGUGGGUCACCAAAAGCUGAGCUCACCCCAGCAGAGGCCAGCUUUGGAGCUAAAUAAAGGCAGGCCUGUUGGAGGGGAUCCCUGGGGGAAAAGAGACAAGCAUAGGUCCCUCCCAAGAUGCCACCCGCUUCAAACAAGUGUCUGGCAGCACUGUGUUCCUGUUAAAGCCACCAGCAUGAGCACAAGACGAUGCUGAUCCAGUGAGUACUCCAUCAAAGGCCUGGCAUGUCUUGUCUACUAGCUUCAAUAUGAAUCUGAUUAAAUGUGAUAGGGUCAAGGCCCCAUUUCAUCAGCACAUAACGACGACGAUGAUGAUGAGGAGACCAUCUCUCUGGAUUCCAAAAGGCAUAAGGACCCAGUGUCAUUGGUGCACUGGACUGCACACACAUAAGGAUAAAAGCCCCCUCAGGUGGCAGAUUUUGUAAAUAUGAAAUCUUUUCACAGCAUUAAUGUUCAGGUGAACAUAACUUUUUGAUCUCUUCCAUUGAACACUGGCAAAAUGGCCUGGCUCAGUCCAUGACUCCAGAAUCUUUCGGACCUCUGAAAUCUAUCAGCGCCUAUCACAAGGUGAAUUCUCUGGUGUGUUGCUGGGAGACAGGGGGUAUGGCUGCCAGCCUUUUUUCCUGACACCUUUCACAGACCCCCAGGAAGCACAGCAGGCCUACAACUAUGCCCAUGCCAGGGCCAGAGUUGAAAUGACCUUUGGCCUCUCACUGCCUUCACAAAUUAAGGGUCAGCCCUGUGAGGGCAUGUGACAUUACUGUGGCUUGUGCUGUCCUCCACAAUGUGGCCUGCCUGAGGAAGGAGAGGGCCCCCAGAGUGCCGCCAACCAUGGACUGGGACAAUCCGGAAAUCUUCCCUGAUUACAACAGUGGUCGGCUGCUGAGAGACCGAUAUGUGUUGAAUUAUUUUAGUUAGUAUGUGUGCUUUCAAUUUUUUUUUUUUUUUGGCCUCUCUUGAUGUUUGUGCUGUAUACUGUGUGUAUACUGUUUGUAAUACAAGCUUGCAGGGAUGCUACUGCAUCCAUUAAUUGUCUUGUUUUCAGUUGUCUGAAAUUGUCUGUUCAGUUAGUGUGUGUAUGGAUUUGUCCUGCAUUUAUUUCAGUGUGCAGACAUGAGGGGGUGUUAUAUACAGACCUUUGGUUGUAUAAUAUGAUUUGAUUCUGUGCUUUCCAUCUUGUAGAGUCACUGUGUGACUUCAGUUUCGAAAAGAGCUGAUGGUUUACCUGCUUUGUUUUGCCCUUAUUCAAUAAAGGAACAUAAUGUUACACUUUGUGCUUUUAUAUUUAUAUGGAAUGUGUAUUUUAUAUGACAGAGUAUAAGGGCCACACCGAGUAAAGGAGAAAGUCAUACAUUUGAGGCUGGUUCUUUCUGUGGAAAGAUGCAUAUUGUUUUUACAGUCCUGAUACUUGUAACAAUUUGAUGCUGAUGUACCAAAAUAUUAAGUAUGUCCUUGUUUCUGAAACCAUACUGAAGUACAAUUUCACGAAAUGCCCCACAACUGUUAUUGUAACAACUGUGCUCCUCUAAAACAACAAGUUACAAUAUUACAACUUCAUCCUCUGUGGCCCUAAUGUUCUAUCAUUUUAUAUAUAUAUAUAUAUAUAUAUAGCCUCAUUCUAUUGGAAACUGUAAAUUAUCUAAUGAUAGCCACAUUGUCUAAAAAUCAUAAUUUAUCCAAAAUUAUUGAAAUUAAUAAUCAUAAACAUAAAAAAAUGACAGUGGGUCUAGUUAUAUGUGAUAACAAUGUAUAUUGGGCAGUGAAAUAACUAUUGGUUUUCUGUUUGUGGUGACUGCUGACUGACAUAAGGGACGAGAUUAAAUAGAUCCUGGAAUUUAGCCUGGUCUGGAGUAGGCUAGCUUCACAGAAUAGAUGGUAAUUUAUACCAUAACAUAUCCUCCUGCCCCCUAUCCAGCUUUAGUGCAACCGGAUCACGGAUCAAUUGAGCCAGGAUCACCAAGAUAUCCCGGCUUAAUCCCUUAUCCUAGUUUUGUGCAAUAGGCCCCAGAAUUAAGACCAUCUCCAUAACAGUGAGCAAUAUUUGUGUUGUUUUUGAGUCUCAAGUAUUUUAAGAGUUUGACUUCUUUCAAAGCUUAUUUUAAGUGUUAUGUUAAAUUGUUAGUCAUUACCUGCAUUAGCAGUUUUGAAAUGUUCAUGAUUAUUUUAGCAUUGAAAGUGAUAUAAAUUGACAAUAAAGUAUUUUGAUAUUAAACCUUUACAGUUUUGUUUUUUUCAUUUUUCAUAUUGCACCUCCUUCAUGUUUUGUGAUGUUAUAGAUGAAUGAACUGUUGAAUAUUUAUGCUGAAAACUGAUAUUUACCGAACUGAAAUAUUUUGCUUUAUCGGUUUUCAAUUUAAAACAAAUAUAUUAUUUAAGUAAAUCACAAUUAAGCAUUAAAGUAUAAUUAUUACAUAAUAAGGGACCAGUCCAGUACCCAUAAAAAACCCAUACUGGGACCUGGUAAAUAAUGUGGCCUUCAUUAGUGGGGCCAAUAUGGGCCCCAUGUGUGUUGCCCAGCUGGGGACCAACAGAAUAAUGAACAAUGAAUUCUCUCAAGAUGAAGAGCAAAAAACAAUGUGUAAUUUGUAAAUGUCCUAUUCUGCAUUUUGUAUAGAUGACCUGAUUUUUAAAACUGUUU